CCAACAUGGAUACCCCAGGAAGUCACUCUCCCCGGGCUCUGUCCUAGUGGUGUGCAAGACCUUAGGGCACUGCCCAGUGAUGUACAGUCCCCUUCCACAAUGUGGAAGAUCAAGCUAGGCUUCAAGUCUGCGCCUACAUAUUCCUACAAUUUCUCAAGAGUCCCUUGGACAAUGACUGAGGAGACAAACCAUGCAGGAAACAAGA